CCUCUAUUCGACGUACUGCAGGAUUCAGUGUAUCAACUAGUCAUCUAAGUUUGAAUAGUUUUAUUAUGUGGGUGAUGAGAGCUACUUUGUAUUGUUCUCUCUUGUUUAUCUGUAAUGUGUCGUGUAAUGAUAUAAAAAUUAUAAAACAGACCGGAAUUUCUUCGCACCUUCAUCGCGACGCGAAAGAGUUGGCUUAAAUGUGUUUUAAGAGUAAUUCAAAUCCGGUUUUUAUCUCUGCGGAUCUACUAAGCAAAGAUUGGAAUCCAGGCGGUAAUUCGUGGGUUGUGAUUGACCAUAAAUUCCAGAAACAGGCUACGGGCUUUAAUUCAGCUUAUCCAACAUACGUACUCUCAUUUGAGUCUAUUGAUUACUUGAAAGCAACUAUUAACCAUUUUCGUAAAUCGACUGCAUGGAGCAUCAAGUCUCCAUUUUUGAUCGUUGAAAGAAAAUCAUCUUGUUUGAGUGCUGGAGAAGUAUUGCAAUUCAUGUGGAAGCAAGAUCUAAUGGCCGUCUAUUACCUGUGUAGUGAUCAAAAUACGACGAUUGUUUUCACGUUAAUCCAUUUGUUAAGUCCAUUUGCAACCCACGCUCCAGCACCAUGGGUUUUUUUUUCGAAUUUAACGAUAAUAGAAAGAAAUCGACCCUUUACGAUAUGGAAUACACAAAAGACAGCAAUAUUUGCAGACAAUUAACUUUCGAUAAGACUAAAAAAUUGAAUGGUCAUGAGGUGAAGUUAGCAGCUUUUAUAGAUAUCGAAAACAUCCCUCACAAAAAUUUGUCUUCUUAAAUGACUGAGUAUUUGAAGGAAAUGGAAUAAAAAGGAUCAAUGACAGUAUGCGAAACAUUAUCGCUGAUGGAAGCCAAGGACAACACAUGGUUUUUUCUUCUUCGGCUAAAAUGACAUCCUUUAAAAACGGAUAUUUCAGACAAUUAGCCGAUAAGACGAUUGCUGUGCUAGACAAAUCGUUCCAUUCGUUCCAAUCGUUAGCUGACACCAACUACAAAUACAUGGAUAUUUUAACACGGUAUGACAUAAGUACUUACUCAAUCAUAACGAAAAAAUCGAACUAUUUGACGACAAUCAGUCAAGUUGCUUGCAAUUAUCGAUUCCUGUUCCUGACAAUCAUCAUGUUAAUGUUGAUUGGGAUGAUAAUCAUAAUUAACAAUAAAUUUGACAUCAGUAGCGGUAUCUUGGAUGUAAUGAGUCUGACAGUAGGCAUGGGAGUGAUCACACCUCUAGACCGGUUGUCGAUGCGGAUUAUCUACAUUUCCGGGUUCUUGUUUGUCUUCACUGUAAUGCCUGAAUUUCAAGGUCAGGUGUCUGCUAUACUGUCGGAACCGUUGAGGCGCAACGUCGAGUCAUUAAGAGAUCUUUAUGAUAACAACUAUCAUGUUUACUACGAUGUAAUAUUAAUGAGAGACAUAGUCAAUGAAAAAUUGUGGGUGACUGAUGAGGACAUGCAGUACUUUUACCCAUCUAAUCACUCUGAGCUACACGCAUGCGUAAUC